GAUGAACGCUGGCGGCGUGCCUAAUACAUGCAAGUCGAGCGAACGGACGAGAAGCUUGCUUCUCUGAUGUUAGCGGCGGACGGGUGAGUAACACGUGGAUAACCUACCUAUUAGUCUGGGAUAACUUCGGGAAACCGUUGCUGAUACCGGAUAAUAUUUCGAACCUCACGGUUCAAAAGUGAUAGUCGCUCUUGAUGUCACUUCUAGAUGGAUCCGUGCUGCUUUAGCUAGUUGGUAAGGUAACGGCUUACCAAGGCAACGAUGCAUAGCCGACCUGAGAGGGUGAGCGGCCACACUGGAACUGAGACACGGUCCAGACGCCUACGGGAGGCAGCAGUAGAGAAUCUUCCACAAUGGGCGAAAGCCUGACGGAGCAACGCCGCGUGAGUGAUGAAGGUCUUCGGAUCGUAAAACUCUGUUAUUAGGGAAGAACAUAUGUGUAUGGAACUGUGCACAUCUUGACGGUACCUAAUCAGAAAGCCACGGCUAACUACGUG
rnacentral:rRNA from 1 species